rnacentral:tRNA from 1 species
UGGCUUAGUUGGUAGAGCGUAGUACUUAGAAUGCUGAUGUUGUGGGUUCGAUUCCCAC